rnacentral:rRNA from 1 species
GAUGAACGCUGGCGGCGUGCCUAAUACAUGCAAGUCGAGCGAACGGACGAGAAGCUUGCUUCUCUGAUGUUAGCGGCGGACGGGUGAGUAACACGUGGAUAACCUACCUAUAAGACUGGGAUAACUUCGGGAAACCGGAGCUAAUACCGGAUAAUAUUUUGAACCGCAUGGUUCAAAAGUGAAAGACGGCCUUGCUGUCACUUAUAGAUGGAUCCGCGCUGCAUUAGCUAGUUGGUAAGGUAACGGCUUACCAAGGCAACGAUGCAUAGCCGACCUGAGAGGGUGAUCGGCCACGCUGGAACUGAGACACGGUCCAGACUCCUACGGGAGGCAGCAGUAGGGAAUCUUCCGCAAAGGGCGAAAGCCUGACGGAGCAACGCCGCGUGAGUGAUGAAGGUCUUCGGAUCGUAAAACUCUGUUAUUAGGGAAGAACAUAUGUGUAAGUAACUGUGCACAUCUUGACGGUACCUAAUCAGAAAGCCACGGCUAACUACGUG